AGUGAAGCGGGAAAAGCUCAAAUUUAAAAUCUGGCGUGCCUUUGGCCGUCCGAGUUGUAGUCUGGAGAAGUGUUUUCUGUGCCGGACCGUGUACAAGUCCCUUGGAACAGGGCCUCAUAGAGGGUGAGAAUCCCGUCUUUGACACGGACUACCGGUGCUCUGUGAUGCGCUCUCAACGAGUCGAGUUGUUUGGGAAUGCAGCUCAAAAUGGGUGGUAAAUUCCAUCUAAAGCUAAAUAUAGGCGAGAGACCGAUAGCGAACAAGUACCGUGAGGGAAAGAUGAAAAGCACUUUGGAAAGAGAGUUAAACAGUACGUGAAAUUGCUGAAAGGGAAACGCUUGAAGUCAGUCAUGUCUGCCAGGACUCAGCUUUGCAUUUUUUGCUUGGUGCACUUUCUGGUUGAUGGGCCAGCGUCGAUUUUGACCGUUGGAGAAAGGUGGAGGAAAUGUGGCACCUUUCGAGGUGUGUUAUAGUCCUCUGCUGUAUGUGACGGUUGGGAUCGAGGACCGCAGCACGCCUUUAUGGCCGGGGGUCACACCCACGUUACGUGCUUAGGAUGCUGGCUUAAUGGCUUUAAGCGACCCGUCUUGAAACACGGACCAAGGAGUCUAACUUGCCUGCGAGUGUUUGGGUGGAAAACCCAAGCGCGCAAUGAAAGUGAUAGUUGAGACCUCUGUCGUGGAGGGCAUCGACGCCCGGACUUGAUCUACGGAGACGGUUCUGCGGUAGAGCAUGCAUGUUGGGACCCGAAAGAUGGUG
rnacentral:rRNA from 1 species